GACACCCCAUGCUACACCUGCUUGGCUAGCUUUAGCUGCUAACAAAAAUAAUAAACUAAGGGUGCUCACGUCCAGUCCUCGAGAGCCACCGGUGUUACG